UUAGUACAUCUUCAUAUUUUCUAACUCUUGUCGUCUUCAUCUUCUUUCCCACUCCAUUUAACAUGUCAAUUUCAACACAAUCCAUUACGAAAUUCACACACUGACACACCCUCGCGAAAUUCACACACUGACACACCCUUGCGAAAUUCACACACCCGUUACCUUGUUUCUCUCACCCCCACCAAAGAUACAUGCUUACAUAACUCAUAUUGAUUUUGAAACAAAAAUCAUUUCACCAUACCCACACCUUUAUCAUGCAAUAAAAAGAAGCAAGAAUAAAAGUUGAUCUUGUGAAGAAAAUAAUAGAGUAACUAUUGAAACAGAAGAAGAAAGCAGUAAGAGCUACAAUUUUGUUCUAGGUUACUCCAUAUUUGCUACCAUUUUUUGGUUUGAAAGCAUGUGACUUUGGUGGGGUGAAAGGCACAAGGUUGUGGGUAUGUAAGCUUGUGAAUCUCGUGAGGGUUAGAGAUAUGAGUUGAUAUAAAUUGUUUUGUGUUUAAAACUCAAUUUUACCCUCAUGUGGUAAAUCAAAUUUCUAACUUGUCUUUAUCCUUA